GGGACGCGGGUGGUGCUGUGGGUAGAACCUCAGCGCCUAGGGCUUGCCGAUCGCAUGGUCGGCGGUUCGAAUCCCCGCGGCGGGGUGAGCUCCCGUCUUUCGGUCCCAGCUCCUGCCCACCUAGCAGUUCAAAAGCACCCCUAAGUGCAAGUAGAUAAAUAGGUACCGCUUUAUAGCGGGAAGGUAAACGGCGUUUCCGUGUGCUGCGCUGGUGCCGGCUCGCCAGAGCAGCCUCGUCACGCUGGCCACGUGACCCGGAAGUGUCUCCGGACAGUGCUGGCUCCAGGCCUCUUAAGUGAGAUGGGCGCACAACCCUAGAGUCGGACACGACUGGCCCGUACGGGCAGGGGCACCUUUACCUUUACCUAUCUUUGCUGGAACAGCUGAGGGAUUCUGACACAAAAUGUGCAACUCUCAAUGGAGGCCAGCUAGGCCUCUGUAACAUGGGCAACUCAGUGGUCAGGCCAGGACAUAAGGGCUAAAGUGGUCCUUACAGCAUCCUGAACCCAAGCUGAUAAGAGCUUUGUAUGAUCUGUCUCUGUUACCAAGACUAAACUGCUAACCGGCUGUUUUUAACUUUAUUCACUGGUUUGCCAGUAUCCCAAAGGAUCAAAGCACGAGUACCAUGAGCCCAAAACCCAAUAAUGGAUGACCAGCUGAAUCUCAAGGGGAUUUCCAGAGUCCAUUGUGCUAUGUCUGCAUUGGCUUGACUGCAUUGGCGCUCCGUUUCCAAACUCAUUUCAAAGUACUGUUUUUGAGCUUUAAAGCUGCCUGCACCUCAGGACCCCAGUACCUCAAGGAUUGCCUGUCCCCACAUGACCAUCAUCAGAGUCUCUUCUCCGUGAGCCUCCUGUGAGGGAAGUGAGGUGAGUGGCAGCCUGAGAACCUGCUCUUUCAGGAAUGGCUCCCCAUUUGUGGAAUGCUCUCCCCCUGGGAAGCAUGUGUGAUGCCAUCAUUAUUCUAUAACCAGACCCUUGGCUGCUAAAUAAUCUAUGGCCUUUUAAAUGUGUUUGUGGGAGGAGGUUUUUUUUGGGGGUGUUCUUAUUAUGAUAUGCAUUUUGUGUUUUUCCAUUUUGUAUUUUACUGCUGAAAACCGCCCUGUGAUCUUCGGAUGACAGGCAGUGUAUGAAUUUUAAUCACCAUCAUCAUCAUCAGCUUUUAGGCACCAGACUUAAGGCGUCUCUGUUUGCUCCAGCUUCUAG
rnacentral:lncRNA from 1 species